rnacentral:lncRNA from 1 species
UGAUCUUCGCGGUGUACGUCACCUCCAACGAAUAGCCAGCUGAUCACGAAUCGGCCCGAGACUUCAGGUAACAACCAUGACCCUCACCCUAUAAAAAGGGGUAGAGGAAGGCCUUCGGUAAGCCAUUAUAAGCACUCUUAAGUCAUAAGAGGCCAUCAAAGGCACUUAGAAACCUCUCCAAAAGCCCUGCUAACUUAGCCAUCGAAAGGCCUUC